GUCCCUAUAGCUCAGUGGUAGAGCGUCAGUCUUGUAAAUUGUGAAGGCCUGUAGUUCGAUCCUACAUGGGGGCA
rnacentral:tRNA from 1 species